UACGGAGGGUGCGAGCGUUGUUCGGAAUUACUGGGCGUAAAGGGCGCGUAGGCGGCCGAAUAAGUCUGACGUGAAAUCCCUCGGCCUAACCGAGGAACUGCGUCUGAAACUGCUCGGCUCGAGUCCGGGAGAGGGUAGUGGAAUUCCCAGUGUAGCGGUGAAAUGCGUAGAUAUUGGGAGGAACACCGGUGGCGAAGGCGGCUACCUGGACCGGUACUGACGCUGAUGCGCGAAAGCUAGGGUAGCAAACAGG
rnacentral:rRNA from 1 species